UGUUUGAAUCCAGUAUUUUUUUUUUUUUUGUGGUGGCUUUGGUUUAUGAUUGUGAAAUUGAAAUUGAUGUUAGUUGAAUCUUUGGUGUGUAUUCCAAUUUUUACUGUUUUUUUAGUGUUUUCACUCUAGUAGAGAUAUUGAACCUAUCAACACAAUCACAUCAAUCUAGGGAAGAGAUAAUGUUCUAUAUUUCAUUUGGUUUUUUGAGAAAUCCAAUUAGGCAUAAAAUAUUUUAAAGAUCCAUGUCAAAGGUGGGUUGGAUUUUACCCUUUCAUUACAAAAUCACCAUCAUCAGCCAUGGAAAGACUUUGUCCUUUAGAAUAAAAUUCAAUCACAAAAAGACGAAAGAGAUGCAUAAUCGUAUGGGCUCCAAAAGCUUUUGCAAUUGAAGGAAGGAUAUUUUCAGGUUUCCCAUGUUGUAUGAGCAAAUUGAGUCCCCUCUUCAUCAGAUUCUUUGUUAAGUUGGCUAGGCAAUCUAUCAGAAAUUGGGUGCGUAAAGCUGCAAAAGAGAAUUGCAAAGAAUGCCAUGAUUAAAAUCAUAAGAAAGACAUCAAGCAAAAUUCAAUUUUGUUGUUCCUCACUCUCUUUCGCUAAUCACUAAAAAGGCAUGCCUAUUGUUGCCUUGUACCUUGUUGAAAUAUAAUGUUUUAAUACAUUAUGAAUUACAUUUAUGGAGAUAUAUGAAUUGAACCAUUUAUGGAGAUGUAUGAAUUGAACUUCUAUGAUUGAAUACCAUAAGCUUAUAUGCAAUAUCAAAGGAAAGGACAAUGAGCUUUUACAAUGGAAAAACAUAGAAAAUUCUUUCUGUUUUUUUCUUUUUUUUAUGGUCUUAUCACGUUUAUCUAGUGCUUGAAGUUAUGUGUUGAUAGUAUAUGUGUUAUUAUUGUUUGUAGUUUAAAAGAUAAAUAUCUUUGUUUUUAUAGAAAUCGGGGAGUAGAUAUCAUCUGUGGCCUACAAAAUGGAGGAAAUUGACGAACGCGAGGGGAAGAGGAAGAUGAUAGAGAGGAGGAUGAGAUUGAGGUCAAUGUUGAGGAGGACGAGGAGGUACAUGUACUGACAUUCAAAGGCGGUAGGAGGGGUCAAAAUGAUAGAGAUGAAUGGUCGGAUUUUCAAGAUGAAAUCGCGAUAAGCAUGUGAGAAAAAUAUAACCACCGUGGUGCCUAGAUUAUGUUUAUUUUCUUUUUUUCUAUGAAAUAUUAUGAUGAACUAUGCCGAAGGGCCUUUACUUGGUUUAUGUAUGCAUCUUUAAUUGUUUUUUACUUGUUUAUAUAUGAGGGAGAAUGUUUUUUCAUUUAGUAAUGCUAUUUGCACAAUUGAAAUGCGAGUGGGUGUGAAUGAGGUUAUGGUAUAAUACGUAUGCAACAACUGAGUCUUGAAUGCAAUGGUAAAUGAUAUAUGUAUAUUGACGUAUGAUGUUGGUGUAAUACAAUGUCAUGCAUAAUACUUUUAUUGGAUCUACUUGUUGAGAUGACACUAGACACUAACAAAACUGUAAAAAGCUAUAAACCCCAACAAUAGGUCUUAUCGAAUGGGGGUUUUUAAAACAAAUUGGCAUGGACUUGAAGGGACAAUUUAAAAAAUAAGCUAAAGAUGUGGAUGAUCAACUACUUGAUUGUUAAGGAAAUUAAAAAAGCAAUGUGGUUUUGGUUGGGAUAGUAUUAGGCACCACAUACUUAUUGAUGAUGAAGUAUGGGAUGCUCAUGUUGAGUUGAGUCAUGUGCUUUAUGUCCGUUUCUUAGUUUUUUAUCAUGCCUAAAGUAUUAGUUGUAAUAUGUUCACCCUAAUUAUGCAAAGCCACCAAGGCUAAAGGGUGGAGAGAUAGGCCCUUCCCUUAUUAUGAUGCGCUCAACAUAAUCAUUAGCAACUAAGUUGCUGAAAGAUGUGGUGCGAGGAUACCAUCCAUGCUAGCGAAAGAAAGUCAGCAAGAAAGUGAAGCACUUGAAAGACUUGAUAAUGUCUCAAUGAGAGAUAUAGGUGUCAGUUUCGAUGCGGUACCAGAUGAUGAGGACGGUGCACUUGAGACACCGUUGCAAUCAAGUGCAUAUGGAAGAGUGCCCAAGAGUGGAGUUGCAAGGCCAAAGAAGAAGAGGGCACUACAUGACUCCAUUGAUAUGGCAGAUGUUGUGUACAAUUUAGGUGAGAUCUGGACAAACAAACAAAAAAUCCACUCACGAUUCAGAUCAGCGAUGCCAUAUCCUGAUCCCAGGCCUCACACCUAGGGUCAAGAUGACUACAACAAGGGAUACUGUAGACCAUGCACAUAUGACCAUUUUGUUCUUAAACAUGAGUCAAGAAAAUAGAGUUGAGUACAUGUAUGGUGUGCAUCGCAUAUUAGCAUCUGCAUAGAUGCAGCUUUCUCCUCCUUCCUCUCUUUCUUCAUGCUUUUAUGCAAGUACUCUUAUGACCGUGUUAUGGGUUCCUACAGUUUCUAUGUGCACUUGUGGUAUGUGCACUCUUUUUUAGACAAUUGAUGAUGUGCUGCUAUAUGUGCACUCGCACUCUUUUAUGGACAACUUUGUUAAAUGUUGUUUAUCUUUCUUAGAAAUGGGUUAUUGGACAAAUACCUUGAUGGAAGUGUACAUGUCUGUUGAAUCUUGGUUGUAGUGAUGGAUGUGUACUUGUUUGUUGAA